GCCCUCCCAUCAGAUGUUGAAGAAAUAAACAACUACCAGACUUUUAGAAGACAUCUGAAGCUACACUGAGAGCCAGCCACUUGGUGCCUAAUGAGUCUUUACGAAGGGCCUUCUGUUGACAGCAAGCAACAGUUAACAUUCAAACACCUGUUAAAAAGUCUGGCUCUGACAGGAAUAAACUGCUCCGUCGCUGCUAAUGGACUUUCCCCUCCUUACGAGGACAGCAUGAGCAAAGAUGUGUCAGAGUCGGUCGGUGAUGAAGAAGAUUCCCUGUGCAAGCCUGGAGGCACCCUCUCCUUUAAAAUUGCAUCACACGUCUCAGAACGAAUGCUGCCACUGAAAGAUUGUUCCAAGUCAUCGGCCCUGGGAGUAGAUUAAGCUACAAACGAGGUGUCUCCUGCAGUUAUGUGUACUGUUCCAAAUGGUUUUCAUUCUUGGGCGAUUUCUUGUUGCUUGAGCUCUUCCCCGUUCCUUUAGAGUCUCCAUAUUGAGUUUCCAAAUUUUUUACAAAUUAGCUACAGGUUAGUUACAUCGUUUCAUGUAUUGAAACACCUCCGCAGUGGUUUUUUAUUCAAACUCUUUUCUGCUGCAUUAUAUGUCAAAUUCUCAUCUAUUAUCAAUAUCCCUCUAGCACAAUUCCUUUAUCAUUUUGCUCCCACUAUCUCGAAUCCUGCCCGUGACUUCAUUUGUUUGUAGUGG
rnacentral:lncRNA from 1 species